UAAGAGGGCCCCCCUCCUGAGCUGCUAGGGCUGUGGGGGAAGCAUGCACGCAUGGAAACAGGCACACAACUGAAGAGGGGCUUGGAUAUCAUGCUGAAAAUGACAGCUCCUUCCACAUCUUCUUACAGCGGGAAGGUUACUCUUUGUGACAGAAGUCUAACUUGCCUCUUUGAAUGUAUUAAAGUCCUAUUUCUGGCUUUCUGGAUGAACACAAAAGGCAGCUUACACAGUGCUGCUUCACCUUGACAGUAUGUUUUUAGACACCUAGCAGACAGACUUAGGGUAGUUUUCCCUCUCUUUCCUUUUGAUUAAAUGUAAACAGCACUUUUCACACAUCAUCUCCAAACUGAGCUAUGCAGGGUGUUGGGGCUAAAAGAACUGGGUCUCAGAGGCUUUUAACUUUGCAGGCUCAGUUUCCCUACAUGCAUAGUAGGAAAAUAAUAACAAUAAUAGUAAUAGUAAUAUAUCUUUUUCAGGGGGUGUGGUAGGUAGAAUAAUUGCUCAGUCAAAAAUAUGUCCUAAUUCCUAGAAACCUCUGAAUUUGUUACCUUUUAUAGCAAAAGGGACUUUGCAGAUGUGCCUGAAUUAAGCAUCAAGUAUCUUGCGAGAAGAAGGCUAUUCUGAACUCUACAGAUGGGUUGGUGUAACCACAGAGCCUUUUGGUAAGGAAGGCACGAGGGUAGGGGUCAGGAAGAGACUGGCAGACGCUAUGCUGCUGGCUCCUAGCACAGAAACAGGCCAGGAGCCUUGAAACACAGGCAGCUUCUAGGAGCUGGGGAAGGCAAGAUAACCAACACUGCCCCGGAAGUCCUUGAAGAACACAAUCCUGCUGGCACCUCCCUUUGAGCUGGGACCAUUAUUCUUUGCAGUUAUAAGACGGCAAUGGAGAUUACAGAAUGGGUAUCUUAGUCCAGAGAGGACAGCUGAGGACAGUCAAAAGGCGACUUCCCCACCACGUGGCCAGAAGUGUCAGCUGGCUUGGAAGGACUGAGUGGAGUGCAGCCCCAUGAUAUUCAAGCCCAGAAAUAUUAACUUUUCUCUAUUUCUUGUCUCUCUAGUUUUUUUUUAAAAAGCAUAGCCUGUUUAGAUGAGCAGAGAGAAACUAGGGGAAAAACAUCUCCUACCCUGUUCUCAGCCUUAUCUAACAUUUUGCUUUGUUUUUUGGUAGGAAUAUCAUCUGUCAUGCAGAAUGAGGCCCCGGACACUGUGUAUCAAGCAGCUUUGUUACAUAAUGUUCUCAAUAGCUACUGUUUUACCGAAAGUUUUGAUGACUGUCAAACAGUCAUAAUGGUUAUUAAAUGAAUAACUAUAAAUGUAUGCAAAACCAAGUUCACGGACUUUAUUUUAAAACUUCAUUGAAAUUAUUAACUGCUUACAGUUCUGUUUCUUAAGUUAGAAUAAUUUGGUUUGCAUCUGGACCUGCCCUUAUUUGCAUGAUUGCCUUAGAUCUCUCCCAGGAACUGGCCUUCGGGGAAUUAAACAAACGAGCUCAUAUAAUAUGUAUUUCCUUCCCUUUUCCUUCCUUCCCUUAUAAUAACACAUUCUCUAUGAUUUCCAUUGAAUUAAAUGGUUUUUCAUUGCU